GGGGGCGAAAAGGUUUCGACGAGAUGGAAUUGAUUGGAAGUUGCAUGCCGAGCCACCAUAACUCGGAAAACUGUGGUAAUAAACAUAAAUGGCAACGUUAAUUACGCCCUGGCAGCUUAACUUAGCUGCUCGCUCUCGAGAAAGUUCUUCUCCUACUUUCUCGAAGGGUGUCAUAGAAGGAGAAUAAGCUACAAUCAUUGCCAGGGGAUUGUGGAUGAAAAAUAACUGGCAUAGCCUUACCUAAUCCUGUGGUUGGGUGUGGGAAAGGCGAUAAAAAAACAGCCACUAAGCAUGUAGACGCUUCUAAACUACCAUUUCGGACGCGGGUUCGAUUCCCGCCGCCUCCACCA
rnacentral:tmRNA from 1 species